rnacentral:rRNA from 1 species
GACGAACGCUGGCGGCGUGCCUAAUACAUGCAAGUAGGCCGCAGUUGCGAACGGGUGAGUAACGCGUAGGUAACUACCUAUUAGAGGGGGAUAACUAUUGGAAACGAUAGCUAAUACCGCAUACUAGUAGAUGGACCUGCGUUGUAUUAGCUAGUAGGUAGGGUACUGGCCUACCUAGGCAACGGUACAUAGCCGGCGUGGUAGGGUGAUAGGCCACACUGGGACUGCGAAACGGGCCAGACUUCGACGGGAGGCAGCAGUAGGGAAUCUUCGGAAAUGGGGGGAACCCUGACCGAGCAACGCCGCGGGAGUGAAGAAGGGUUUCGGAUCGUAAAGCUCUGUUGUUAAGGAAGCGGUACUUAACCAGAAAGGGACGGCUAACUACGUGCCAGCCGCCGCGGUAAUAC